rnacentral:hammerhead_ribozyme from 1 species
AUCCAGAUGACGAGUUCCAAAUGGGACGAAAUGCAUAUCCAAGAU